rnacentral:rRNA from 1 species
AACGAACGCUGGCGGCAUGCCUAACACAUGCAAGUCGAACGAAACCUUCGGGUCUAGUGGCGCACGGGUGCGUAACGCGUGGGAACCUGCCCUUAGGUUCGGAAUAACUCCCCGAAAGGGGUGCUAAUACCGGAUAAUGUCUUCGGACCAAAGAUUUAUCGCCUUUGGAUGGGCCCGCGUUGGAUUAGCUAGUUGGUAGGGUAAAAGCCUACCAAGGCGACGAUCCAUAGCUGGUCUGAGAGGAUGAUCAGCCUCACUGGGACUGAGACACGGCCCAGACCGCUGCGGGAGGCAGAGGUGGGGAGUAUCGGAUAGCGGACGGAAGCGUGAUCAGGCAAAGCUGGUUGAAUGAUGAAGGCCUUAGGGUUGAAAUGCUCUUGUCCAGAGAAUGAUAAGGAGGGUACCGGGAGAAUUGGCCCCGGAUAACUCCGUGCCAGAAGCCGCGUAAAUAAU